rfam:Ipomoea nil DNA, scaffold: scaffold2792, cultivar: Tokyo-kokei standard.
GUCAGGAUGGCCGAGUUGGUCUAAGGCACCAGUUUCAGGUACUGUUUUGAAAGGGCAUAAGUUUAAAUCCCAUUCUUAACA